GGCGGUGUAGCCAAGUGGUAAGGCAAGGGCCUGCAAAGCCCCGAUCGGCGGUUCGAAUCCGCCCGCCGCCUCCA
rnacentral:tRNA from 2 species